rnacentral:rRNA from 1 species
CCUACGGGAGGCUGCAGUGAGGAAUAUUGGUCAAUGGCCGGAAGCCUGAACCAGCCAUGCCGCGUGAAGGUCAGUGCCCUUUGGGCGUUAAACUUCUUUCGUGCGGGAGCAAUAAUGGUCACGUGUGGCCAGACUAGAUUAACGUUAGAAUAAGCAUCAGCUUAACCCGUGUCCGUAACCGCGGGAACAGCGGUGCUGCAGGCGGUAUCCGGAGUUUAUGGGUUUAAAGGGUGCGGAAGCUGGGGGGUAAGUCCACGUGUGAAUUCCCCUGGUUAAAGGGGUGAAGUGCAAUUGAUACUGGCUUGCUGGAGUGUGGUAGAGGUGGGAGGAAUUUGUGGUGUAGCGGUGAAAUGCGUAGAUAUCA